rnacentral:tRNA from 1 species
CGGAAGUAGCUCAGUGGUAGAGUACCUGCCUUCCAAGCAGGCUGUCGCGAGUUCGAAUCUCGUCUUCCG